ACUCCUACGGGAGGCAGCAGUAGGGAAUAUUGGGCAAUGGACGCAAGUCUGACCCAGCCAUGCCGCGUGCAGGAUGAAGGCGUUAUGCGUUGUAAACUGCUUUUAUACAGGAAGAAACGACUCUUGCGAGAGGCAUUGACGGUACUGUAUGAAUAAGCACCGGCUAGCUCCGUGCCAGCAGCCGCGGUAAUAC
rnacentral:rRNA from 1 species